ACGCACGCUGGCGGCGUGCUUAACACAUGCAAGUCGCACGGAAAGGCCCUGCUUUUGUGGGGUGCUCGAGUGGCGAACGGGUGAGUAACACGUGAGUAACCUGCCCUUGACUUUGGGAUAACUUCAGGAAACUGGGGCUAAUACCGGAUAGGAGCUCCUGCUGCAUGGUGGGGGUUGGAAAGUUUCGGCGGUUGGGGAUGGACUCGCGGCUUAUCAGCUUGUUGGUGGGGUAGUGGCUUACCAAGGCUUUGACGGGUAGCCGACCUGAGAGGGUGACCGGCCACAUUGGGACUGAGAUACGGCCCAGACUCCUACGGGAGGCAGCAGUGGGGAAUAUUGCACAAUGGGCGGAAGCCUGAUGCAGCAACGCCGCGUGCGGGAUGACGGCCUUCGGGUUGUAAACCGCUUUCGCCUGUGACGAAGCGUGAGUGACGGUAAUGGGUAAAGAAGCACCGGCUAACUACGUG
rnacentral:rRNA from 1 species